rnacentral:rRNA from 1 species
CCUACGGGUGGCAGCAGUGGGGGAUAUUGCACAAUGGGGGAAACCCUGAUGCAUCCCCGCCGCUUGUGUUCCUCCUUUCCUCUUUUUUUUCCCCCCCUUUCUCCCUUUACUAAGAUGACGGUACCUGGGGAGGAAGCUCCGGCUAACUACGUGCCAGCAGCCGCGGUAAUACGUAGGGAGCGAGCGUUGUCCGGAAUUACUGGGUGUAAAGGGAGCGUAGGCGGGGAUGCAAGCUGGGUGUCAAAACUACCGGCUCAACUGGUAGGCGCACUCAAAACUGCAGCUCUAGAGUGAAGUAGAGGCAGGCGGAAUUCCUGGUGUAGCGGUGAAAUGCGUAGAUAUUAGGAGGAACACCAGUGGCGAAGGCGACCUGCUGGGCUUUUACUGACGCUGAGGCUCGAAAGUGUGGGGAGCAAACAGGAUUAGAUAACAUGGUAGUC